UUCAUUCUGAUAUUUCAAAUAUAUGUAUGCAUGUGCACGUGUGUGUAUAUAUGCAUGUGUACAUGUGUGUAUGUGUGUUUGCUUUUGUGUAUGCAUGUGCAAGUGUGUGUAUGUGUAAUAUAGUAGACAGACCCAGUCAUGCCUUCAUUAUCUUCUUUUCCCUGUUCCCUUGUUGACCCCACAAAUAGCUCUUUUUAUUGUUUUCAUGUAAUAUUUGUGUGUGUACAUAUGUGUGUAUAGUUAAAUACAGAGUUCACAUAUCAAACUAUGUAAAUUUUUCUUUCUCCUCCUGCUAUUACCCUCUCUUUGUUCCUUCCUACCUUGAAGAAUCUCUUCCUCUUCACUGUCCCAUUUCUACAUAUAUCUUUUGAAACUCUCUCUGUCCCAUAUAUGUAUGUGUGUAUAUGUGCAUUUAUGUUUAUUCUCCAUAUCAGAGAAACAUGAAGUAUUUGCCUUUCCCAGUCUGGCUAAUUGCACUUAGCAUGAUUAUCUCUAAUACCAUCCAUUUGCCUGCACAUGACACAAUUUAAUUCUUUUGUUGUUUGUGACAGGGAUUCUUUGAGUAGUCAUAGCUGUCCUAGAACUCACUCUAGGUAUGCAUUCUAAGUAGACGAGACUAUCAUUGAACUCAGACAUCUAUGUGCUUCUGCCUCCUGAGUGCUGGGAUUACAGGCAUACAGCACCACUGCCCAGCAUCAUAAUUAAAUUCUUUAGAGACGAAUGAAAGUCUGUUGUGUGUGUGUGAUUUUCUUUUCCUGCUGAUCUGUGGAUGAGUAUCUAGGGUGUUUCCAUUUGACUAUUAUGUAUAGUGCAAUGGUAAACUGGAUGUGCCAGUUUUUCUAUGGUAGUAUUUGUAUUACUUCUUUGGAGAGAAUAUUAUUCUGCAUACUUAUAAAGUACUUCAGUCCAUGUGUGAUGGGAUGGGAACAUCCUGAUUGCCUAAGAGUUGGACCUGAGAAUCCUUAGAGGCUGUGGAAAUGCCUUUGAGAUGGUACCUACCAUCUUUCAGACUAUACUGCAAGUCUUAGGGUCAAGGGAACACCAGACAAUGAGUAUCUGCCAGUCUGGUAGAUGGAGAGGAAAAGAAAAGGGAAUGAGCUAGUUUUUCUAAAAAAUUACUGAUAGUUAAAAGAAAAGACUGCCAUUCUGUUUCCUGGGAGAAAAUUCUUUCUACAUUCUCUCACACACCCAUGUGCCUUUCAAGUGAUGUGCAAACCACCUUUUUUUUUUUUUUUUUUUUGCUAUACAACCCCCAUUAGAGUAUGUCUUGCUAUGGUUUGUGUAUAAUUUACACCCCAAGAGCUUCUUAUAUUAGAAGCUCAGUUCCCAGUGUAGUGGUUGUCUUAGGGUUUUACUGCCGUGAACAGACACCAUGACCAAGGCAACUCUCAUAAAGACAGCAUUUAAUUGGGCUGGUUACAGGUUCAGAGGUUCAGUCCAUUAUUAAGUCAGGAGCAUGGCAGCAUCCAGGCAGGCAUGGCUCAGAGGGAGCUGAGAGUCCUACAUGUUCAUCUAAAGGCUGCUAGCAGAAUGUGACUUCUAGGCACCUAGAAUGAGGGUCUCAAAGCCCAUACCCACAGUGACACGCCUACUCCAACACGGUCACACCCACUUCAACAGGGCCACACCUAAUAGUACUACUACUUGGGCUGAGCAUAUACAAACCAUGACAGUGAUGUUGAAAAGUUGUAGAAUAUUUAAAGUAAACACAGUGGAUACUGGGGAUACUGACCUUGGAGGGAACCAAGUAGUUCAGGACCUCAGUUAGGGUGUGUGUGUGUGUGUGUGUGAGAGAGAGAGAGAGAGAGAGAGAGAGAGAGAGAGAGAGAGAGAGAGAGGAGAUUGUUUGAAACAGGCAUUCCUGGCUCCUUAUUUUCUGGCUUCCUAUCUUGAUGCAAUCUCUCCUUCCCAUAUAUGCUCAAUCAUGAUGCCACCUACUGUGAUAGUUCAAGUGGUUAGAAAGGGUCAUUGACAGUACUGACAUCUGACUAUUGUUUGAACUGAUAUGCUGUUUGGACUGUCAGCCUCUAAAACUGUGAAUUAAAUAAAUCUCUUUAUUUCUAUAUAGAAUAUCCAGCCUCAAUUGUUUUGUUAUGGAAAGAGAAAAUGAAAAGAAUGUGAUAAAACAUAAAUGUCUCCUUCUGAAGCAAAGAUUAAUCUCACUAAAGGUUGAUAUUAAAAUAUUCAAGUUCACUGCUGUUUGAAAAGGGGUCUGCUAUGUAGAAAAGUUAUUUUGCAUUUGUAAUCUUCCUCCUCUGGUCAAUGUAGAACUCUCUAGGUAGCCCAGGCUGGCUUUGAAUUUGGAAAACCUGUUGCUUCUGCUUCCCAGGUUCUUUUAUUACAGAUAUGAACUACCACAUCUGGUUGAAAGUUCUUGCUUUGAUAUGUAACCCACUUUAUAUACAGAUGUCCUCUGGCCCACUACUUGUAGGAACCACCACAAAAUCAAUACUCUGAAUACUGGCUUCUUCAGAGACUUAAGCUGUUUCCUGAGUCCAUAGCUGUGUGCAUCCAAAUGACAUCCUUGAAGUUAGGGUAGGAUAACGUUUUGCAAUUACAAUAAUGUUGUAUUUAUAUUCCUCAUACUUUGCAAGAACCUGCUUGGGUGGUGGAUGUGAUAUUUUUUGUUUAUGCUUAUCUGAGCACAGAAGAAGGGAACCAGAAAGACUAUGGACACCGAGAAGAGUUAGAGUGAUGAGUUAGCAGACCACCAUUAGAUUGGAAACACAAUUGUCAUUGCCCAAAGUAAUAUAGCAUAACAACAGCAAGCAUGCAUCUCACAACCGAGAGUGUGAUUUAAGAUGGACUUACUCACUUCUUUUCUGAAGGUUCUUCAACUAGAAUAGCUUUGGCACCUUUAAUUUCCGAGCCAGUGGGUCAACCAAAACCAUGUAGGUUUCUCAUGGUAACAACAGUGAACAAGAAUGUGCAAGCCCAGAUGAUUCAUUUCCAAGUUACUACCUAUGGGGUGUUUGUUAAAAAUCCACCAACCUCACACAUGACCUCACAGUCAAAAUAAAGUUAAUUAAGGAAGCAAAUAUAUCUAAGGAGCAAAGAAAUCCCAUGUGAAGUCCUCGCUGAAAAAGUAAGGUGUGUAUAUAAUGUUUUUAGAAAAACUAUGCAAAGUUAGAGUACAGGCACGGGGAGGGCAGUGUACUAGAGCAGAGCGUGGAAUGCAAUGGGAAAGUGAGUGAUUCCAACGGUGCUUCUAAUAGGACUGAUUUUCUCUGGGCCCAGUGAGUAGGACGGGAGGCUGCUUAGGAUCACUUCCUGCCAGAGAAGAUUGCUGCAAUGGCUGAAGCCUGUGGGUGUCCCACAGAGAGUAGUAGCGUGUGAGUAGAGAGAGUAGAAGAGAAUGAACUGGAACUAGGUUACCCACAUUAGGAAACUAUGUCGUUUGAAAGCCCAAGGAACUCACAGGGACCCCUGGGUGAAAGCCAGCGUUUUAAACGCAUGUAACAUAUUGUGACCAGUGCAGAGACUGAAAACUGGUGCGGAGAGGACCACCGCAUGGAUGCAAUCUCCCUUCAUACCACUUCUCAUUAAAACUGCGUCUUGAAGAGAAAGGAAGCAGAAGAGUAAAUGGACUGCAUUGCUCUUCCAGUCUCUACCAACCCAACCAGAACUGAGGGGAGGAGGAAGAGAAAGAAAAGAAAAAAUGGCUGGAUGGCCCUUACGGCAUCCGGAAGCCCUAGUGCUGUCACUAGCACCUUGCUGGCUGAAGAAAGCAAAGCCAACCCCAUCAUGCUUCCCACAGCGAGCCUUGAUCUGAAGAUCUCAAAGAUUAAAACAGAGACUGAAGGAACACCCAUUCGGAGCCUGCCCCACAUGUGGCCCAUACAUAUACAGCCACCCAAUUAGACAAGAUGGAUGAAGCAAAGAAGUGCAGACCGACAGGAGCCGGAUGUAGAUCGCUCCUGAGAGACACAGCCAGAAUACAGCAAAUAUAGAGGCGAAUGCCAGCAGCAAACCACUGAACUGAGAAUAGGUCCCCUAUUGAAGGAAUCAGAGAAAGAACUGGAAGAGCUUGAAGGGGCUCGAGACCCCUUAUGAACAACAAUGCCAAGCAACCAGAGCUUCCAGGGACUAAGCCACUACCCAAAGACUAUACAUGGACUGACCCUGGACUCUGACCCCAUAGGUAGCAAUGAAUAUCCUAGUAAGAGCACCAGUGGAAGGGGAAGCCCUGGGUCCUGCUAAGACUGAACCCCCAGUGAACUAGUCUAUGGGGGGAGGGCGGCAAUGGGGGGAGGGUUGGGAGGGGAACACCCAUAAGGAAGGGGAGGGGGGAGGGGGAUUUUGCCCGGAAACCGGGAAAGGGAAUAACACUCGAAAUGUAUAUAAGAAAUACUCAAGUUAAUAAAAAAAAAAAAAUUUAAUAAAAAAAAAAAAGAUCUGAAGAUCUUAUGAAGUUUAGCUCAACCUCUGAAUUUAUUUUGGCUACUGAGUUAGUUUUCUAGCCUAGAAAAUAAAAGCUUUACAUGAUAAGUAGAGACACUUUAGUUCAAACUAAUUUCUAACCCUUACUAGUUCUGGGAUGUAUAUCCACACUUCCCUGAACCCUAAUGAGCUCAGUCGUGGAACAGAAAGGAUUAUUGUAAUGUUGGAGUGUGUGUGUGUGUGUGUGUGUGUGUGUGUGUGUGUGUGUGUGUGUGUGUUUAACUAAAGGAGAAUGAGGAAAUCUAGCACACAUUGGACAUGCACUGUUCCAUUGCUCUACAAUCAAACCAAAGGACAGCAGGGAGAGUCUCAGCUGAAGUGUGAUCCACACAGAAACAUGACCAUUUGGUGGCUUUAUCAGUCUCUUCUAACAGUGUGUUCGCUUUUCUUUUUAUGAUGAUUGCUGUAUUUUCUGCCAAAGGAGACUGAAAUCAUCUUAAGCCAAUAUAUAAGACCCAUCUUUCUAAACCACUUCCUCUUCUUGUUUCCUCUUUAAUCAUUCUACAUGGUGACUCAGCACUCUCUCUCUCCUCCCCACUCUCCCCCCACCUUUCUUUCUCUUUUUUCCUUUCUUGCUUCUCGUUCCUAUUCAUUUACUAAGCAGAAGUCCCUCUUUAUCCUUAACUCUGUGCUACCAAACUAAUCGCAGACAGCACCUCAGUGUACUUGCGUGGCAUGCUGGCUCUCCACUGAACUGCUUCUCAGGACAGAGAAGUAAGCUUCCCUUACGGGUUCCAAUCUGUUUCCACAGCAGCAGUGAAUCAGCUGGAUGAAGCCUCACAGUGAGUUUUUCAGGUGAUAUCAACUACAAGACAUAAUCUCCAUUUUUUAUGAAAAUCUAAUUUUUUUUUACUUAAAAAAAAAAAAUCUUCGGAACAGCCCCGCUAUGCUCCUUGUGGAAAAUGGUGUGCAUUCGCAGAGAGUUGAAGGUUUGUGUUUGGGAUUGACACAUCUGACAUGACUUUGCAGUCCACUAAAUAUCUCUGAGAGUCUUCCUUUAUGGAGGAUUCCUGACAGGAUAUGUUCCCAAGGCUUUAUUGACUUUACAAAUCAAAAGAAUUCUCUGUGGAUAACCUCUGAUAUCCUAACAUAAAGCACCACAACUGGGGUAGGACAGUGUGUGCAUCCCGGCUAGGUUUCUAUCGCUGUAAUAAACACCAUGACCAAAGCAGUUUGCGGAGGGAAGGGUUUACUUCCUCUCACAGACUUGCCUACAGACCCCAGUGAAGGAUGCGUUUUCUCAGUCGAGGUUCCCGGAUGACCCUAAGCUUGAGUCAAGUUGAGAAAAUAAAAGAUAAAAAUCUAGCUAGCAUGUUGUACAUGCUCAAAACUUUCUGUUAUAAAAAGUUUAAGUAUCAAGAUGAGGAGGUGGAGUAGAGAAUGUGGAACAUAAAAAUUUAAAAAAGUCAUUGUUCUAAUUCUUAGAUUGGUGGAUUUCAUAUCUGUUAUAUUAUUUUCACAAUUAACAUCUUUUUAUGGUAUUUACUUAGUCUUAUUUAUAUUUAAGUGGAAAUAUUAGAUACAGUCUUAAGAUAAAAAUGUAAUUAUGUGUGUGCAUGAGUCUGAAGGAAAGGCAUCCCUGUGAGGACAGUGCUAGCAGAGACCAGAGACGUCACACUCACAGCGUUUGGAGUUCUGGCUGGCUGUGCACCCUCUGCCCACAUGAGGACAGGGAACCGAAUCCCUGUCCUGUAAGACCCCUAUGGACUCUUAGCCACUGAUUCAUCCCUCCUGUCCCAAGAACUUACCUUUUCACCACUUUGUAUUCAAAUGUAAAGUUGAAUUAUACAAUAACAUGUCUGAUUCGUACACUAAGUUUAGCAAUUUAACACAUUGCCAUUUUUUAAAAAUAAUAUUUCUAUCUGCAUAUCUGCAUGUAUAUACUAAUUUUUGCUGAGAUGGUUGAAAGGCAUUUGAAACUUGACUGCUAAACACUUUCUUAUUCAACUUGAAAGAACAAUAGGUUCUUCUUUAUCAUAAGGGAAUCAAUGCUCCAAGUAAAGUUAAUGAUUUCAUAAUAUCAAUAAUAUCCAGUCCAUCGUAAAAUUCAUAUGGUAAGUUAAAGACAUAUCACUUGAUCACCCUGAAAACAUCAUGCUAGUGAGAGAAGUUAAAUAUAUAAAAGGCCAUAUGGUGUGGUUCUAUUUAUACGAGGUUUCUAGAAUAGGAGAACAUAUAAAGAUAGAGACCUUAGUGUUUGCCAGAAGUUGAGAGGAAAGUGAGAGUAACUACUGGAUGUGUAGUGCAGCUCUGCUUUUGGACCAAGUGAAAUGCUCCGGGAUUAUAUCAUCGCGAUGGUUGGCAGCCUUGUAAGCACAAAGCAAAAUUCCUACGUUUUUCAGCAUUCAUUAAGAUUCUCUCUUGUCAAAACCUCAGGGCAAUCGCCAUAAAAAGAGAAGGAAAUCAAAUGGAGAGCCGCAGGAAGUGAGAGAGCUAAGGGGAAAGUAAUCUUUCUUACAAGUAAAGCACACUGGCAUUGCAGGGCAGCAGGACAGAGAGAGGUAUCAAGAUGCGUGCAUGAAAGGAGCCAGCAGGAAGAAGCGGAAACCCCACCAGAGCUGACAUGCAACAAAGUACGUGCAGAAAAAGCCCACAUAAAUGUCAUAAUCUGCUUGGCACCGAAACCAUCAAGCCAUUGGCUUUUCUCUAGCCCUGGCCCACUUCCAGCACCAGAGGUGCUUUUCUUCCUUUAAAAACGUCUGUUUCUGCCACUACUCCUUAUCUGGGGUCUAAUCCCCUGUGGUGAGGCACAAGAACAUAGAAAUAUCAACAGAUACCCUCUUGGUCCUAAUCCUUUCCUAUAACAGUAGUAUUAUAUCGACACUAUGGCACUCAAGGAUUCUGGCUAGAUGUGGCAUUCAUGGUUUUAGGAGACUUAUUGUGUGUGCAACAGAAUCUUCAGUCACUUCAUUUCAUUCUGUGGAGGGUCAAGUAAGACUGUCAAAGUCCCAGUUCUAACAGGAGAGGGUCCAUAUGCUCCCUGGUUCCUGGUAGAUGUCCCAGUGUCCCAGUGACAAUGAAACAAAGAAAAGUUUAUCGUCAUGGCUUUAGAAGGAUCAGCUGACCUCUCAGACUGCAGAUCCCUUGGAAUGGAAAAGUACACGGCUCCAACAGAGAGACCUUUAGACUGACCACCUGACAGAGAAAAGAACAAGCAUUUUAUCUGGUUGUUGGAAUAGCCCAAAGUCCGGACCAAAAGAAGUUUUACCAGCCAAAAACAUGGACAUUCUUAAGAAAUAUUUUCCUUAUCGCUUGAAAUUUUUCCAUGUAAAUUUGUCCUUGAAGGCAUCAUGGCUCCCUGUACCUGACUGGAUUUUGAUUUUUUACUGUUAGGAUAACAAAGACAAAGGGAAGAGGUGCAUUCCAUGCACUGUUGACAAAGGAGAAGAGAGAUUUGGGGUUGGUAACAGGUUAUGGAUUCAGUACAUGAAGACUCCUAUCCCUAUGAGGGUCUCUUUCUGUUUUACAGCCAAGACUGAAGACCAGUCACAGGACCAAAGUAAUAUUGUUCAACAUGCCAAACAAAAACACAGUCCUUACCUUAAAAAGACAUGGACAUGCUUUGGGGUGGGAGGGGUGUUUGUUUGUUUGGUUGUUUUUCUGGAGUCGAUCACAGUGGCCACUGUCCAGGAACACAGAUAUAGGUUGUCCCGAAUAUGUCCUGCAAGGUAAGAAUUCAUGAAAUUUUUACAGUAACAGCACAAAGAAAGCCUCAUAAAUAAAACACCUUUCAGUUAUGCUGAUGAGUACAUGAGCCACAUAGGUUACAGCAAAGUGGGGGAAAGGCUGCUGUGGUCCUCAGAAAACAUCAGAUGGCAUUUGUAGUCUUUGAGUAGACUAGAGGUCUGUCUAUGCAUCCCUAAGGAAGUACCCUCGUUGUUAGGAUGUUAGGUCAUAUAAUGGAGUAGGCAACGAGUGGCCAUUGAAGGUGCAAAGUAGCCCAACACCGUUUGGCUCUGGACCUGCAACCUAACCGUCUCGAAUUACUGAAGCUCUAAUCAGCCGAUGGCCCUUGGAGAGCCUUUGGGAUAGGAACAGGCUCUUCAGGAACAUCGUUAACAAGAAGGAAAAUCUUCAGUUUUAGUGCCCGCAGAUUCCCGAACUUUAUCCUGUGCUCCACACAUAGGUUACAGAGCUAAUUCUAGAUUAAAUCAGCUGGAACGUGUCAGUCUCUGCCUUACAUUCUCUCAGCUUGAGGAAAUCCUCACAAGUGUUAAGUGUACAUGAAUCUUGCAUAUGGACUUCUGCUUGCUUUUUUUGCACCCAUUCCAACAAUAAUGAGAUAUUUACUACUCUUGAAAGACAAAAUUGCGGAGUAUUACCAAAUGGCAAAGCAAAACAAUGGUACAUAUUAUGGGAACGGUGCAUCCUGACAAGGGUCACUGAAAAUAUUAAUUAUAGGAAAACACACUUUGCAAUUUUGUUGUGUGUCAUUGUAUAUUUUUAAAUUGGUUUAAUUUCUAUUUUUAAAUAUACAAAUUUUCUCCUUUUUCAUUGAGAAAGAAGCCCAAUUAACAGAAAGAUGAAUGUCAAUUUACAUAACAACAAUUCUCUUGGCCUUAGAAAAGCUUAGCAUUUGGUUUUUCUGUAAAAGAAUGUCUCAGUGGGAUGUAUGCAUGUUUUUAAUCUGGAUUUUUUGGGAAACUCCUCAUUAUCUUUUGGAAUCUAAAUUUGAAUACAUAACAUGUCACCAUGUUCCUAGCUGACAUGGCUAAAAAUGCCUCUUCAUUUUUUACAGUUUGACCCUAUGACGUUGUCUGCCACCUUUUCGGUAUUCAUUAGUCACUGAUAAAGGUCUUUCCAACGCCACUCGAAUUAGCCAUCUUUUUAUAUCUUUGUGUUUGACUUCCCUUUCCUGGGUAUUCCAUGCCUCUUCUUAGUCUGGUCACUUUUUACUCAUUUUUGUGAACACAGACAUGCUUCUCUUAUACAGAACUAAUAUUCUACACACCGGGACAUGGGGUCCUACAGUGAUUUUUCUCUGUGCUUAAUAUACACCCGAAUGAGCACUGAUGUCCCAGGAGUCUUCUGACUGUGUAGUUAGACAAGAAGGCAGAUGAGCAGACAGGCAGCCGAAUAGGCAGAACUCCUGGCCUCUUCCACAAUCAUCCAAUCCCUUCCUUCUUUUGAUUAUUUGUGGUGUGUGUGUGCGUGUGUGUGCGUGUGUGUGUGUGUGUGUGUGUGUGUGUAGCUAUCUUUACAUUGUCAUGAAGAUGUACCUGCCUAUGUGUGUGUACCUGCCUGUGUGUGAGUUCAUGUAUAUGUGCAUUUAUGUGAAUGUACACUUACAUAGAGACAGAUGACAAUAUCCAAUGUCUUCCUCAAUCUAUCUCUACAUCAUUCUGUUUAUAUUGUCUUUAUUAUAUUUCCACAAAUCCUUAAAAUAUUUUUGAGGACAGGAUGUCUUUUGCCCUGGGGUUCAUACAUCUGGCCAAUGGGUUCCAGAGAUCCUUUUCUUUCUUCCCCAACAGUGCAGGGGUGGCUGGGCACAUACCACUACAUUUAGCUUUCGAUGAGGGUGCUAUAGAUCUGAACUCAAGUUUGUCAGGUGCGAAGGAAACUAUUUCUCCAAAGUCUGGUGCCUGUUCCCUUCUAUCAAAGGAACCAUUUGUUAUCACUGUCAGAAGGGACAAAUGACUGUCUGUGGUGCCUAUUAGUAUAACAAAGCACAUGCUGGUCUCCAGGCUUCCUUAGGAUUACAAGUACCUGUGGCUUUUCUCACCCUGCCCUCUACCCUAAACUUCUCUAGCCCAUAGGCUUCUCUCCCUGCAGGCUUCUCAUUGCCUUAUAACCCUGAGAUUUUGGCUAUGCACUCCCGUGUCUUCCCUCCUGCCUCUCUCUCAUAGUCUCUUUGCCCACACUCUUUUUGUCUUCCUCUCUACUCUUCCUCUCUUUCUAUCCUCUCCUGGCCCAGUCCAGUCUGCUGGCUAUGUUCAGUCUACUUCAUUCUCCCCCUGUUCUUGACUCUUCCAGAUGCCUCUGACUAUGCCUCCCUUCAGAUCUACAAUAAAAACCUCCCCCUCAACCAUACCUUGGAGCAGCCACAUCCUCAGUUUAUACAGAGCUGUCAAGUUUACAUGGCAAGCAAUAGGAGGAUUGAGCCACUGCCCCAGAUCUGGCAGUUUUAGAUAACAGUGUAUUCAUACCACAUGCAUGGCCAACCAAAUGUAGGCUCCUUAAGUUAAUUAUUUUCUCAUGCUGUGAUCAAAACUUGAUGUGGCUUUUUGGUUUAGAUCAGCCUUCAUAGGCUCAUAUGUUUGAAUACUUAAUCAUCAAGGAGUGGCACUAUCUAAAAGGAUUAGAAGGAUUAGAAGGUGUGGUCUUUUGGGUGGAAAAGAAAUACCCUACUGUGGAGUAGAUUUUGAGGUUUCAAAAGCUCAUGCCAGCGCAAGGCCCUGGGUUCGGUCCCCAGCUCCGAAAAAAAAAAAAAAAAGAACCAAAAAAAAAAAAAAAAAAAGCUCAUGCCAGCUCAGGCUCUCUCUCUCUCUCUCUCUCUCUCUCUCUCUCUCUCUCUCUCUCCCUCCCUCCCUCCCUCCCUCCCUCCCUCUUCCUCUCCCUCCUUGCUCCCCUCUCAUUUUCUCUUUGCUUAGAGAUCAGGAUAAAGUUCUCAGCUACUUCCCAAGCACCAUACCUGCCCGAUUCCAUUCUCUCUACCAUGAUGAUAGUGGACUAUGCCUCUGAAACUAUAAGCAAGCCACUCCCCCCAGCCCUGUUAAAUGCCUUCCAUUAUAAGAGUUGCCUUGGUCAUGGUGUUUCUUCACAGUAAUAAAAGAGUGACUGUUUUAUGUCAAUUUAACACAAGCUAAAUUCAUUUGAUAGGAGGGAAGCUCAAUUAAGAAAAUGUCUUCACGGGGUUGGGGAUUUAGCUCAGUGGUAGAGCGCUUGCCUAGGAAGCACAAGGCCCUGGGUUCGGUCCCCAGCUCCGAAAAAAAGAACCAAGAAAAUGUCUUCAUAAGAUCAAUAUGUUGCUAGAAUAUUAAUCUAGCAACAUGGCUGCUGUAGCAAGGAAUCACAUCCAAAGAUAUGAUCUAGCCAGAAUGCAGACUCGUCCUGGAUUACAGUGUGAUCUAGCCACAAUACAGACAUGCCCUUAGUAUAUACUUUUUUUUUUUUUAUUAACUUGAGUAUUUCUUAUUUACAUUUCGAGUGUUAUUCCCUUUCCCGGUUUCCGGGCAAACAUCCCCCAAUCCCUCCCCCUCCCCUUCUUUAUGGGUGUUACCCUCCCCAUCCUCCCACCCAUUGCUGCCCUCCCCCCAACAAUCACGUUCACUGGGGGUUCAGUCUUAGCAGGACCAAGGUCUUCCCCUUCCAUUGGUGCUCUUAUUAGGCUAUUCAUUGCUACCUAUGAGGUCAGAGUCCAGGGACAGUCCAUGUAUAGUCUUUAGGUAGUGGCUUAGUCCCUGGAAGCUCUGGUUGCUUUGCAUUGUUGUUCAUAUGGGGUCUCGAGCCCCUUCAAGCUCUUCCAGUUCUUUCUCUGAUUCCUUCAACGGGGGUCCCGUUCUCAGUUCAGUGGUUUGCUGCUGGCAUUCGCCUCUGUAAUUGCUAUAUUCUGGGUGUGUCUCUAGUAUAUACUUUUAAUCCCUAACAUUGAUGGUAAGGUUAGUUUGUAGAAGGAAGCAACCAUGUUUGGAAGUGCUGGCUAAUAGAGGAGAAGGCAAAGUGAUGAAUUAGAGAAAGAUUUGACAGACUGAAUCAGAGAUAAGAUAAAUCUAACUCAUGAAAGAACAGCAGAGGAAAAGAGGUUACUUAAGAGCAGCAAAAGAGCAAAAAUGUUGGUACUGUGUGUGUGUGUGUGUGUGUGUGUGUCUGUGUGUGUGUGUGUGUGUGUCUGUGUCUGUGUGUGUGUGUGUGUGUGUGUGUGUGUGUGUCUGUGUGUGUGUCUGUGUCUGUGUGUGUCUUAACAGGACAGUUUACAGAGACAGGUUACAGAGGAAACAAGCUAGACAUAAGUGAAGGCAGAACUAGCCAGAGAAUGAGAAGGAGACAGAAUACUAGGACAUACUGCCAAAAUUAGUAUGAGGCCAAGCAGAAGAAUUUAGUGAGAAGCUGAGAGAAGUCAGAUAAAAUAGGUCAUCUUGAAAGAUUAGUCUGUACGGAGGCUAAACAUUUCCAGGCCAAGGCCUAGUGAUAGUUAUAAAAGAGAAUGAAAUCUGGGCUCAGCCCAAGCCAUGUAUUGGCACAGUUUGAAUACAGCUCUCAUUUCAACCUAAUUUAUUUUCUUAAUUACAUUUUCUUAAUUAGUGAUUGAUGGGGGAGGGCACAGCCCAUUGUGGAUGAUGCCGUCCCUGGGCUGGUGGUCUUGGGUACUCUAAGAAAGCAGGCUGAAUAAGUGUUUAUUUGGCUUACACUUCUGCACUGUAGCCCAUCUUUGAAGAAAGCCAGGACUGAAGCGUUGAGGAAGGAGCUGAUGCAGAGGCCGUGAAGGGCUGCUGCUUAUGGACCUGUUCCUCACGGUUUGCUCAGCUUAUUGAGGAGGAGAAGAUAGAAUGGGGAGGGGACUUGCAUGAGGGGUACUAGGAGGAGAGGAAGGGCUGAUAUUUGCUUGUAAAAUUAAUCAAUAAAUAAAACCUUUUAAAAAGAACAAUAGAAGAAGAAGAAGAAGAAGAAGAAGAAGAAGAAGAAGAAGAAGAAGAAGAAGAAGAAGAAGAAGAAGAAGCAGAAGCAGAAGCAGCAGCAGCAACUCCUCCUCCAUACAGCCCAAGGAAAAGGAUUCCUUCUACCUGUGAGAACAUGGGGAAUAAUCUGGAGUCUUUGCUAGGGCUCCGGUUCAUUAUAUUAUUUUAUACCACUUGUCUUACUGUGUUUCUUCCCAACUGUUCACUCCUCGUCAAACCUAAAUAAAAUAUUCAGGCUUCUCUGAUUUUUUUUAGGUGGAUGUUUUUUAAGGUUCUUAUGUUGCCUAUAAUUUCUAUUAAAUACAUCUGUCUUUGGUUGUAGGGCUAUGGUCAAUUCACUCCUGAGCCCAGUAAUGGGUAUGGGUGAAAAGAACAUUUCUUUUCCCCCACCAAGAAAAUAAAAAGGGUUUCCCUGGAAAACUUUAUUGCAGGAUAAAAAAUGUCAUGUUAGGUGUUUUGUUUGGUUGGUUUGGAAUGGUUUUUUUUUUGUUUGUUUAUUCAUUUGUAGAAAAUUUUUUUUGUGUGUAGAGAAAUGAAAGAGAAUGGACUUCUGGAGUCAGAAACAUGUUGGUUGGCAUUAAAGAGCCAUCAGUCGUUAGUGGGGUAACCAUGGUGACUCCUAGUGCUUUUACCUUAGAUUACUAUUUGUAGCAUUGACUGAAUAGCAACUUAACAAUAGAUCCUGGUGAAGACUAUAUAGGAUUCUGGCCUGCUAGUAAAUAUCACCUCUUUCCGUUCUGGCAUGUUACAUGUGACAUUUAUGGAGACUGUGUCCUUCAUAUCCCCUUGCAGUACACAAGUGAGGAGCGAGACACCACAGAAUCUUCUUUCAUAAAUGAGUGGAUAGUUUUGACUUUGUUCCAAAUUGAUUUGGACAUUUAUGGGUUUACUUGAUUUAGGUGAGUCUCAAACCAGGCAGAUGCCUGAGUUAAUGAGGAUUUUUUAUGAGACUGCAACAAUACUGCCUUUUCUCACCUUGACCUUUUUUGCAUCCCAGAAUCUAGGAAUUUGAGGUGAAACUACAGUUUCUUCACCUAUGAACCCAUGUUAUGCAGCUAUUCACUCCAAUUAGGAAAUUUUGCUUUGUGGACCUAUCUCCCUCAGCUUCAUCAUUACCAUGGUUUAAAAAGUAAUGUACUGGGGCUGGAGAGAUGGCUCAGGGGUUAAGAGCACUGACUGCUCUUCCAGAGGUCCUGAGUUCAAAUCCCAGCAACCACGUGGUGGCUCACAACCAUCUGUAAUGAGAUCUGAUUCCUUCUUCUGGCACGUCUAAGGACAGCUACAGUGUACUCAUCUAUAAUAAAUAAAUCUUUUAAAAAAAAGGUAAUGUACUGUGCAUCGUCCACAGAGGACUCUGAUCCUCCACUCAGAACUAACCAGGUUCAGUGGGGAUUUAGAUCCCGUGAGUGUGCUUAGGAAGUAAAAAAAAAAUACAAUUUGAAUUAUUGUUUUGGGCAGAAAAGCAUAAAAGAUAAAUGAGUGCUAGUAGCUUUGGAUUUAACAAAAUAUGAGUUACUUAAUAGUGUCUGGGUUUUAAUUUUCAUUACUGGAGCUAGGGUUUUCAUAUGAAUAAAUGUACAGCCGUGGUCUCAGAAGGUACAACAAUUAUUGCCAGUUCUAAUUGUUCUAUUUUAGAGACCUUUAUUAACAUGAGACUAUCUCACUGGAGAAGGCCUUUGAUCCUGAAAGAAGUGAAAUAUAUAUGUAUAUGUAUAUGUAUAUGUAUAUAUCAUAUAUGUAUAUAUCAUAUAUAUCAUAUGUAAUUUUUCAUGUUGGAAUGAAUAUAUAAAUAAAAUACCAUAAAGCUUGAAA